UCACUUCAGCAGCACAUAUACUUAAAUUGGAAUGGUACAGUGAAGAUUAGCAUGUCCCCUAUACAAGCCUAACACUUUUUUUAUAUAUUUAAAAAAAAGUUUU